AGGUUGUGAAGAACUUUCAGUUGCAAAAUGGUUACUUUGCAGCGCAUCUCUUUUGCCUUUAAAUACAUCUCAGGGGUAAGUGAGUGAACAUGAGGUGAGAACUUACCUACCAGCAAGGGCCAAUCCAGCACAGUUUGUUGGUCUUCCUGGAUCCUGCAAAGAGCUGC